UAUUGAUUAUUAAUUGUCUUUAUUUUUUAAAAUGUGCAGCCUUAUUCAUACUAUCUUUUGUUAGAAAAAUGAAAGAAGAGAAGGCAUAGAAAUGAGCUUGGUAACUAGCAUUCUUGUAGGUGGAUUUGCCAAAAUGGAAAAUGUAGACACUUUUGGGUUGCCAUUUCAAUUGUCUUCUUUGUUGCUGCUACAUUAUUUACUCUACUGAAACUUUGUGAUUUAUAAUCUUCCCCAGGUUGUAAAGUAUAUUUUGGUCUUAGAUAGCCAGCCAAGCUAAGCUAAGUAGAUGGAAGCAAUUGUUGAAGUUGAAGAUUGUGAAAGCGUUUAAGAUUUCUUAUUUAAGUCUUGUAUUAGGAUCUAGUUUCAUGUAUUAUUAUAGAAUGUAUAUACAAACGCAAUAUUAAGA